rnacentral:rRNA from 1 species
CGCCUUGCCAGCCCGCUCAGAACUUAAGGAAGUUGACGGGGCCCGCACAAGCGUGGAGCAUGUGGUUAAUUCGAUGAUACGCGAGGAACCUUACCUGGGCUCAAAUGUAUGUUGACGUAUUCUGAAAGGGAUACUUCUUCGGACAAUAUACAAGGUGCUGCAUGGUUGUCGUCAGCUCGUGCCGUGAGGUGUCGGGUUAAGUCCCAUAACGAGCGCAACCCCUAUCAUUAGUUGCCAUCAGGUCAAGCUGGGGACUCUAAUGAAACUGCCUACGCAAGUAGUGAGGAAGGUGGGGAUGACGUCAAAUCAGCACGGCCCUUACGUCCAGGGCUACACACGUGCUACAAUGGCCGGCACAACGGGAAGCGAGUUCGCGAGGACGAGCGGAUCCCUCAAAGCCGGUCGCAGUUCGGAUUGAAGUCUGCAACUCGACUUCAUGAAGCUGGAAUCGCUAGUAAUCGUGGAUCAGCCAAGCCGCGGUGAAUACGUUCCCGGGCCUU